UGGGGAAUAUUGCACAAUGGGCGAAAGCCUGAUGCAGCGACGCCGCGUGAGGGAUGACGGCCUUCGGGUUGUAAACCUCUUUCAGCAGGGACGAAGCGCAAGUGACGGUACCUGCAGAAGAAGCACCGGCUAACUACGUGCCAGCAGCCGCGGUAAUACGUAGGGUGCAAGCGUUGUCCGGAAUUACUGGGCGUAAAGAGUUCGUAGGCGGUUUGUCGCGUCGUUUGUGAAAACCAGCAGCUCAACUGCUGGCUUGCAGGCGAUACGGGCAGACUUCAGUACUGCAGGGGAGACUGGAAUUCCUGGUGUAGCGGUGAAAUGCGCAGAUAUCAGGAGGAACACCGGUGGCGAAGGCGGGUCUCUGGGCAGUAACUGACGCUGAGGAACGAAAGCGUGGGUAGCGAACAGG
rnacentral:rRNA from 1 species